rnacentral:lncRNA from 1 species
UGGAUAGGUGCGGCGCUGCUUCCCUGGAGGGAAACGCUCCAUCUUGCGGGCCGAAGCGCGAGUGCUGCUCUGUGACAGCCUCCGGCCGCGGCCUUCCCAGCUGCUACCGCCGCUUUUCGGAUGGGCUGUGAUAGAUGGAGUAGCAGCGAAGACUGCUAGAAGAGCGUUUUCAGUCGGCCUUUAGUGAUUCGUAAAACCAAAUUAGCUGGUUUCUACUUGGAAGGGGUACAGAAGAUCAAACUCUCCCAAAAAGUAGAGAUUAAACAACAACUAAAGAUGGCGAAUCAUAGAAGUUACCACCAUUCCUGGUAUUGGUCCCAGUUCUUCUAAGAAUAUUUUUGAUGCAAGAGCUGUUUUAUCUUGAAUCCUACAUAGCUUAUUUUCCAUUUUUCCAUUCAAAUAAAACAACAAGAGAACAAUAGAGUGAAGAAAAAGGAUGUUUAAGCCUAAAUCCAAGACUGAGGUACAAGACCAAGAAAAGUGGGGCAGAAGAUGGAAAAGAACAAGUGAAGAAUCUUGGAAACAAUUCAAAGGCCAACCCUGCUUAUUCCUGUAAACCAACCAGUGAUCUCUGGCUGCUGCUUAGAAGAAACAAGAGGGAUGGCUAAUUAAACAGGUUGAAGUAAAGGAGCCAGCCCAAACCCACCAAAACCAAAAUGGUGACGAGAGUGACAUCUGGUCGUCCUCACUGCUACACUCCCACCAGCACCACGACAGUUUACAAAUUCUAUGACAAUGUCAGGAAGUUACCCUAUGUGGUCUAAAAAGAGGAGGCAUGAAUAAUCCACCCCUUGUUUAGCAUAUCAUCAAGAAAUAACCAUAAAAAUAGGCAAUCUGCAGCCCCCAGGCUGCUCUGUCUAUGGAGUAGCUGUUCUUUUUUUCUUUUACUUUCUUAAUAAACUUCCUUUCACUUUGCA